rnacentral:misc_RNA from 1 species
AAGUCGUAACAAGGUUUCCGUAGGUGAACCUGCGGAAGGAUCAUUAACGAGUAAGGGUCCCUACCGGCCCGACCUCCAACCCUUUGUCGUUGAAAAACCACUGUUGCUUUGGCGGGACAGCGGGUCCCCAGGGGCCCGCCGCCGGUCUUCGGCCCGGCGAGCGCCUGCCAGAGUCCAACCAUAAAUCUUGUCAUAGAACAGUACGUCUGAGUAAAUUGAUAAAUCAAUCAAAA